AGAUUGAACGCUAGCGGGAUGCUUUACACAUGCAAGUCGAACGGCAGCGCGGACUUCGGUCUGGCGGCGAGUGGCGAACGGGUGAGUAAUAUAUCGGAACGUGCCCAGUAGCGGGGGAUAACUACGCGAAAGCGUGGCUAAUACCGCAUACGCCCUACGGGGGAAAGGGGGGGAUCGCAAGACCUCUCACUAUUGGAGCGGCCGAUAUCAGAUUAGCUAGUUGGUGAGGUAAAGGCUCACCAAGGCGACGAUCUGUAGCUGGUUUGAGAGGACGACAGCCACACUGGGACUGAGACACGGCCCAGACUCCUACGGGAGCAGCAGUGGGAAUUUGGACAAUGGGGAAACCUGAUCCAGCCAUCCCGCGUGUGCGAUGAACGGCCUUCGGGUUGUAAAGUCACGUUUUGGCGAGGAAGAAACGGACGUCCGUUAAGUACGGGCGUACACGUGACGUACC
rnacentral:rRNA from 1 species